CCUAUGAUGAUACUAUUGGUCCGUGUUUAUGAUAUUGAUUGAUUAGCAUUCUCAACCACUACUGAAAAUU